rnacentral:rRNA from 1 species
ACGUAGGGUGCGAGCGUUAAUCGGAAUUACUGGGCGUAAAGCGUGCGCAGGCGGUUUUGUAAGACAGGCGUGAAAUCCCCGGGCUUAACCUGGGAACUGCGUUUGUGACUGCAAGGCUAGAGUUUGGCAGAGGGGGGUGGAAUUCCACGUGUAGCAGUGAAAUGCGUAGAGAUGUGGAGGAACACCGAUGGCGAAGGCAGCCCCCUGGGCCAAUACUGACGCUCAUGCACGAAAGCGUGGGGAGCAAACAGGAUUAGAUACCCUGGUAGUCCACGCCCUAAACGAUGUCAACUAGGUGUUGGAAGGGUUAAA